CGAGGAUGCAAGCGUUAUCCGGAAUCAUUGGGUUUAAAGGGUCCGUAGGCGGUUUAAUAAGUCAGUGGUGAAAGCCCAUCGCUCAACGAUGGAACGGCCAUUGAUACUGUUAAACUUGAAUUAUUAGGAAGUAACUAGAAUAUGUAGUGUAGCGGUGAAAUGCUUAGAGAUUACAUGGAAUACCAAUUGCGAAGGCAGGUUACUACUAAUAUAUUGACGCUGAUGGACGAAAGCGUGGGGAGCGAACAGGAUUAGAUACCCUGGUAGUCCACGCCGUAAACGAUGGAUACUAGCUGUUCGGAGCAAUCUGAGUGGCUAAGCGAAAGUGAUAAGUAUCCCACCUGGGGAGUACGUUCGCAAGAAUG
rnacentral:rRNA from 1 species